rnacentral:pre_miRNA from 1 species
GGAAUAUAAGAACCUGUCUCUUAACUUUUAACUAAAAAAAUUAAGAACCGGCUCUUAAAACUCUUAUUUAAGAACCGGUUCUUAACUUUUUUAGUUAAAAGUUAAGAGACAAGUUCUUAUAUUCC